rnacentral:lncRNA from 1 species
UCAACUAGAAUAUGUUUGUUUUCCUUCUGUUUAUUGAAUGAAAUCUUUUACCACUAAAACAAAAUAGCUCAAUACACAACCUGUCUAAAGCACCCGACUACCCGAGAAAAUACGCAUAGUAAUCUCAAAGAGUAAACGAUAAAUCUUUCAUUAUUGUUAGUAUAUUUUUUCUAUAAAAGUACAAAAUCCCAUUGUUCUUUCAAGCACUAGAAAUGGCAAGGGCCAAAGAAAAGAUCCAGAGUAUGUUUACUAUUGUUUUUCUUCUAUAAUCUGUUGUUACUGCAACUGCUUCCUUUAAGUUUCUGCACAUCCAUGGUAGCUUCAUGCAGGUGGGCAGAGAUAAGGAAUGUACACAUAAUAAAAGCUGCUUCACAGAAUUUUCUUGGAUGCAUCAAACUCCAUGCACUGAUGCACGGACAAAAGAAUAUUCAUUUUGACUGCUGAAAAUCUAAAUCUAAUUUCCUUUUCAAAUGUGAUC